UACGUAGGGUGCGAGCGUUGCCCGGAUUUAUUGGGCGUAAAGGGCGUGCAGGCGGUUUGUUAAGUGCAGGGUGAAAGCUCCCGGCUCAACUGGGAGAGGUCCUUGCAUACUGGCGAACUCGAGGGAGGCAGAGGAAAGUGGAAUUCCCGGUGUAGUGGUGAUAUGCGUAGAUAUCGGGAGGAACACCUGUGGCGAAGGCGGCUUUCUGGGCCUUACCUGACGCUGAGACGCGAAAGCGUGGGGAGCGAACCGG
rnacentral:rRNA from 1 species